rnacentral:lncRNA from 10 species
CGCCCCUAUCCUGUGCCCAUAAAAGACUUCAGCUGGCAGCGCAAUAGAAGCGGCUGAGCGGCGAGGAUACACGCAGCUGAGUGUCAGAGACAAUGGAUAGAUGCGGCUAACUUCAGACGGUGCGGCUUCAGAGAGGGACCUGGCCGGAGACUGCCGGGCUUCAGAGAAAGCUCACGUUCCCAUCUGCUUUCCAGCCUCCCUUUCCGCUGAGAGCCACCCACCGCUCAAUGAAGUCUUCCGCAUUCAUCACCUUUCAAACGGUUCGUGUGAGCUGAUUCUUCCUGGACGCCAAACGAGAACUCAGGUGCCAAGAGGGCAGGGGCUACCACCCUGACUCUCCACUGAGCUGGUUGGCACUUGGCCGUACCUGGACGGCAGAGCUGAAAGAGCGCUGGUUGAAACAUGCAUGGACACUGCUGUGUAGCAUGCAUAGAGCCUGCUCCCUCCAGAGAGGAGCGACCGGCGGGUUCUGGGGUUCGUUUGCUUGGGUUCCUGCACCCGCUUGCUCUUACGCUCCCCCAUGCGAGGAGUGGCCAGUGACGGGCUGAGUGAAACGAGCCACUCCAGUUCCUGCCCAUGAAGGGGGUCAAAGGAACUAUCCCAUCUCAAAUCCAUGAUCAGGUUUAGGUUUGAUAUUUUGACAACGUUACUUCAGAAGGGUUACUGCAAUUACAUUAUUCUUUCAUCUUUGUUGUGCCUGUAAUUGUUUUUCCCCCUUUUUCAUUGUAGGUUUUAUCUAUUGCAAUUUCAUUUUCUCACUCUUUUUCUUUUUUUCUUUUUUCUUUUUUUUUUUUUUGAGACGGAGUCUCACUCUAUUGCUCCAGGCUGGAGUGCAAUAGUGUGAUCUCGGCUCACUGCAACCUCCGCCUCCCAGGUUCAAGCGAUUCUCCUGGCUCAGCCUCCUGAGUAGCUGGGAUUACAGGUGCGCACAACCACGCCCAGCUAAUUUUUGUAUUUUUAGUAGAAAUGGGGUUUCACCAUAUUGGCCAGGCUGGUCUUGAACUCCCGACCUUGUGAUCCGCCCGCCUCAGCCUCCCAAAGUGCUGGGAUUACAGGCGUGAGCCACCGUUCCUGGCCUUUCUCACUCUUUUUCUCGAUCAGUCUUGCCAGAAUUUUAUUUCACUAAUCUUUUCAAAUAAUUAGCUUUUGAUUUGGUCAUUUCUUUCUGUUUUUUCCUUCUCCAUUUUAUUGAUUUUUGCCUUUCUUUACUUAUUUUUCCUUCUUGUUUCUUGGCUCUGUUGAUCUUAUUCCAACUUCUUGAAUUUACAGUUUUACUUGUGUUUGAAGUUAUAAUUUCUAUCUACUGCUGUAAGUCCUACACAUUUUGAUACAUUGCCAUUUCAUUGAUACUCUAAGCAACUAGCAAUUUGCUAUACUUUUUUUUUUUUUUUACCUUUUAAAAUAUAUUAUUUAGUUUCCAGUAAUAUGUUUGUAUAAACUAUCCCUCUGUUAUUCAUUUCUAAUUUUUUGGCAUUCUGGUCUGAGAACAUGAUCUGUAUGACAUUGAUUCUUUGGAAUUUAUCAAGUAAUCCUUUGAGGCCUGGUAUACGGACAAUGUCAUAACCCUUAUAUAUGUGCUUGAAAACUGUUUUCUCUAGUGUUGAGCAUAGAAUUAGAAGGGAGGGGGAGAGGCAAGCACAGAGGCAGAUAUAUUCCACAGCAUUCACAGAAGUUAUUUCUGGGAUGGGAAAAUUACAGGUGAUCUUUAUUUUCUUCUUGGACAGCAGUAGUCUUUACUUGCCUGUGAUUCCAAACAUGUUUGAAAACAAUGUCAGAGAUCUCAUAGGCCUCCCACUGCCCUGGGUGGGUAAGAGCACUGGUGUGGACAAGAGGGAACAUUUGCCAUUGCCCAUCAUCUGGGUUGUUCACCUGACCUUCUGGGCCUGCCAUCCUGUUCUAUGAAAUGAGGAUAUUUGGCUGGGUGCAGUGGCUCACACCUGUAAUCCCAGCACUUUGGGAGGCUGAGGUG